GGUGCCCGUCCCCUCUACCCGCCCUGCCGAAGACCCGCCUUCUUCUCCUUAAGCCUGACGGAAUCACCUGACUCGGAGGCGCUCCCUCGGAAGGAAGGAUACUAGAUGGAAACUUGAGAAAGGACUGCUUACUUGAUAAGAGCUAAGGUAUUCCUGGAAGCAGAGUAAAUAAAGCUCAUGGCCCACCAGCUAGAAAGUAUUCUUGCCAUGAGAAAAAGAAUGUGAUAAGUUAUUCAACUUAUGAAAUUCAAGUUACAUGUGAAUUCUGCCAGGCAAUACAAGGACCUGUGGAAUAUGAGUGAUGACAAACCCUUUCUAUGCACUGCGCCUGGAUGUGGCCAGGGUCUCACUCUGUCACCCGGGCUGGAGUGCAGUAGCAUGAUCAUGACACACUGAAGCCUCAACCUCCUGGGCUCAGGAUCUCCCAAUGUUGUCCAGGCUGCUCUCAAACUCCUGGGCUCAAGCCAUCUGCCCACCUUGGCCU
rnacentral:sRNA from 1 species